UCCCUGGUAGUUGAGUGGUUAGGACUCAGUGCUUUCACUGCCAAGGGCCCAGGCUCAAUUCUUGGUCAGGGAA
rnacentral:tRNA from 1 species